rnacentral:rRNA from 1 species
CCUACGGGUGGCAGCAGUGAGGAAUAUUGGUCAAUGGACGAGAGUCUGAACCAGCCAAGUAGCGUGAAGGAUGACUGCCCUAUGGGUUGUAAACUUCUUUUAUAAAGGAAUAAAACGAGGCACGUGUGCCUUUUUGCAUGUACUUUAUGAAUAAGGAUCGGCUAACUCCGUGCCAGCAGCCGCGGUAAUACGGAGGAUCCGGGCGUUAUCCGGAUUUAUUGGGUUUAAAGGGAGCGUAGAUGGGUUGUUAAGUCAGUUGUGAAAGUUUGCGGCUCAACCGUAAAAUUGCAAUUGAUACUGGCAGUCGUGAGUACAGUUGAGGUAGGCGGAAUUCGUGGUGUAGCGGUGAAAUGCUUAGAUAUCACGAAGAACCCCGAUUGCGAAGGCAGCUUACUAAACUGUGACUGACAUUGAUGCUCGAAAGUGUGGGUAUCAAACAGGAUUAGAUACCCGGGUAGUC